GGCGUCCGAGUUGUAAUUUGUAGAGGAUGCUAUUGGGUUGCCACCGGUCUAAGUUCCUUGGAACAGGACGUCACAGAGGGUGAGAAUCCCGUAUGUGACCGGCCAGGCGCUCUCUGUAUAGCUCCUUCGACGAGUCGGGUUGUUUGGGAAUGCAGCCCUAAAUGGGAGGUAAAUUUCUUCUAAAGCUAAAUACCGGCCAGAGACCGAUAGCGCACAAGUAGAGUGAUCGAAAGAUGAAAAGCACUUUGGAAAGAGAGUUAAAAAGCACGUGAAAUUGUUGAAAGGGAAGCGCUUGCAAUCAGUCUCGACGGCGGCUGUUCGGCCCCUCUUCUGAGUGGUUUAUUCAGUCGCCGCCGGGCCAGCAUCAGUUUUGGCGGUCGGAUAAAGGCGCGGGGAAUGUAGCUCCCUCGGGAGUGUUAUAGCCCCGCGUGCAAUACGGCCCGCCGGGACUGAGGUCCGCGCUUCGGCUAGGAUGCUGGCGAAAUGGUUGUAAGCGGCCCGUCUUGAAACACGGACCAAGGAGUCUAACAUCUACGCGAGUGUUUGGGUGUCAAACCCGUGCGCGCAAUGAAAGUGAACGGAGGUGGGAACCGCAAGGUGCACCAUCGACCGAUCCUGAUGUCUUCGGAUGGAUUUGAGUAAGAGCGUAGCUGUUGGGACCCGAAAGAUGGUGAACUAUGCCUGAAUAGGGUGAAGCCAGAGGAAACUCUGGUGGAGGCUCGCAGCGGUUCUGACG
rnacentral:rRNA from 1 species